rnacentral:rRNA from 1 species
UUAAGUUAUUAAACCUGAGUGACUAGUAGUUAAGUUCUUGAAAAUUAAAGGAGAUGGCGGUAUUUUAGUCUGUUCAGAGGAAUCUGCCCUGUAAUUGAUAUUCCACGAUUUAAUUUACUUGAAUUUUUAGUUUACAUAUCGCUGUGAUUUGAAUAUUUUUACUGGAUUCUAAUAUUCAUGAUUUUUAGGGAAAGGAUAUCAAGUCAAGAUGUAGCUUAUAUUCAAGAAGAGGUGGAUUACAUUAAAUUUAAAAAUGGUUAGGUUUUUGAAAAGAAGCCUAUAAAAUGGAUUUGAAAGUAAUUUUUUAUUAAGAUUUUAAAAAUGAUUUUAGCUCUAAAAUA